AAGGGGUAAGGGUAAAUACCCAGUAAUUCAGGCCCAGUCAAUCAAACUGCUCUGAUACCAUGUUAAAUUUCAAGGAGUCGGGCUAGCGACCCACUACCAGCAAUACAGAUAUUGUCGCUAACUUAACCACCUACAAAGCCCACUAAGUAUUAAAUUUUAUUCCAAACGGCCUCGAUGUUAUUAGGAGUGGUGUCAUUCAUUAUUUAUUAUAUUUCAUUUAGUUUCCAAUAUUUGACUUAUAUUCUUUAGCAAUGUAAAAUCACAUCAAGAGGGUUUGAUUAAUAGAACUUUAUCCUACAAAUGCACAAUUAAUUGUUAUGAAAAUUUGCUCAAUGUGAUGUCAGGGUGGUUUGGAGCUUGGCUCACUAUGUUUGAAGGAAGAAGGAAGUAUACAAGCCAGUGGUCGGCAGUUGCAUCCAGAUUGUCGAUUUUUGGAAAUUGUUAUUGCAAAUACAUAGUGUUUGUUUGGCCGUAUGCGAGGAGGAGGGGGACAAAAUUGAUGUAUGGACUAAAAAAUUAAAGACUACAUUGAUAUGUGAUAAGGUUUUCACAGCCAAGUUUUUUUUUUUUUUUUUUUUUUAAAAAAAAAAGGGCCAGUAACAAUAGCAUCCACGGGUUCAAUGAUAAUCUCUCUUCUUCUUCUUCUUCUUCUUCUUCUUCUUCUUGUUUUUUUUAUAAAUAAAAUAUAAAAUUAAAGUGAUAUUUUAAAUUACAUACGUGAAAUUUUUCGCACAUAACUAUUAGAUCAAUUGUAUCACAACAACAAUAGUCAUUUGUUUAUUAUUUUGAGGGAAAACUGCUGAAUACCCCCUGCACUAUUACGCUUGUCGAAAUCUCCACCAUGAAUUAUUUUUUCAGUCAAUUUAGCUCGUAAAACUAUUUUAAAUAGUCAAUUUAGCACAUGACGUCAAGUUUUUAGACUUCCAUCCAAUUUUCUAUUAAUUAUAAAAGUAAAUUUGUUAUUUUACAAGGAUAAUACCAAAAAAUAAUAAAGAAAAUAUAAAAUCAUGAUUUCUUCUCUUUUUCUCUUUGUUUGUUCUUUUUCCUUUCCCGUCUUCUUCAUCUCUUUCUCUUUUUUUUUCUUCUCUCCCCUUCUACUCCAACUCUUUCAAAUUUAUUAGCUCCAGUUGUCCUCUCUUCAUUUGGAGGGAGAUUAGCAGCGAAAGAUUUGUAACAGCCAAGAGAAUGCUAAAAUUGAAGGAACGUGUGUAAAACACAAUACAAGAAGGAAGAAGAGGGAAGGAUGAGUGAAUAAAUAAACGGGCAAUCUUCACACACCUCAUAGAAAUAUGCCACACAGACCCGGUAUUUUGGGGAGGAGUUCAUAACUUGAUGCAAUCCCUAAAUCUCACUGAUCCAAUCAAGAACAAGUAGGUGUCGAUGAAGAUGAAAACAUAUUUUGAUUCUAAUUAUAUGUUUAUUUACAAGGAUCAACCAUUGGUAUUCACUCGAAAACCCUUGUAAAUGUGGGAUUGCAGACAGAGAGUCUUAGGAGGAAGGGGCUGG
rnacentral:lncRNA from 1 species